rnacentral:lncRNA from 1 species
CUGUGGAGGUCGAUAUGCAAGUCUGCCUUGUCAUCAGAAACUUCUGACAGACGUAAAUUCUAGUCAUGUCUGACGAGUGAGAAAUGCCAGCUGCUGCCCCAUGGCAAUACACUGGGCUGAUGUUAAAGUAGCUGCAGGAAGGACCUUUGGAAAGAUUAACUAACAGUGUUUUACCAUGUGGCAAGAAAGAAUCAACACAGGUGGGAGAGCAGUGCUAUCUAUGAU